UGCCUACGGGACGCAGCAGUGAGGAAUAUUGGUCAAUGGGCGGAAGCCUGAACCAGCCAAGUCGCGUGAGGGAAGAAGGCCCUGCGGGUCGCAGACCUCUUUGGACGGGGAGCAAGGCCGCCGACGUGUCGGCGGAAGGAGAGUACCCGUAGAACAAGCAUCGGCUAACUCCGUGCCAGCAGCCGCGGUAAUACGGAGGAUGCGAGCGUUAUCCGGAUUUACUGGGUGUAAAGGGAGCGUAGGCGGUGCAGGAAGUCAGA
rnacentral:rRNA from 1 species